AAAUUCUGAUGGGUGGCGGAGGCGGAGGAGGAGAUACGACGAGCAGUGGGGGCGAGGAAAAUUGUACAAACCCUUGUUCUGAUGUGAAAACCCCUAAGAAACGUGCAGAGACAUGGGUACAAGAAGAAACUCGAGUACUUAUUGGUCUUCGUAGAGAAAUUGACUCUCUUUUCAACACUUCAAAGUCUAAUAAGCAUUUGUGGGACCAAAUUUCUAUGAAGAUGAGAGAAAAGGGGUUUGAUAGGUCACCUACUAUGUGUACUGAUAAAUGGAGAAAUUUGUUGAAGGAAUUCAAGAAAGCUAAACAAAAUCAAGAUAGAAAUGGCUCUGCUAAGAUGUCCUAUUAUAAGGAAAUUGACGAGAUUUUAAGAGACAGGACUAAUACCCCUCUCCCUCCCCCUCCCAAGGUUGAUUCUUUUAUGCACUUUGCUCAAAAAGGUCUUGAUGAUACAAGCAUCACAUUUGGACCCGUUGAAGAGAAUGGGAGACCAACUCUUAAUUUAGAACGACGUCUGGAUCAUGAUGGCCAUCCUCUUGCCAUAACAGCAGCAG
rnacentral:misc_RNA from 1 species